AUACGUAGGUGGUGAGCGUUGUCCGGAAUUACUGGGCGUAAAGGGCGCGUAGGCGGCGCUUCAAGUCGUCUGUCAAAUGGGAGGGCUUAACCCUUUUUCGCAGACGAAACUGGAGAGCUUGAGAAGCAGAGAGGCAAACAGAAUUCCUGGUGUAGCGGUGAAAUGCGUAGAUAUCAGGAAGAAUACCAGUGGCGAAGGCGGUUUGCUGGCUGCAUACUGACGCUGAAGCGCGAAAGCCAGGGGAGCAAACGGGAUUAGAUACCCCGGUAGUCCUGGCAGUAAACGAUGUAUGCUGGGUGUGAGACUAGCGAUAGUUUCGUGCCGAAGUUAACGCGAUAAGCAUACCGCCUGGGGAGUACGGUCGCAAGAUUGAAACUCAAAGGAAUUGGCGGGG
rnacentral:rRNA from 1 species